rnacentral:tRNA from 1 species
GGGAGUGUAGCUCAAUGGUAGAGCAUACUCUUAGCAUGUGCAAGGCCCUGGGUUCAAUUCCCAGCAUUAAAA